rnacentral:siRNA from 1 species
UAGAAGUUACUUUUAUUCGCCUA